GCCGUCCUCCUGGAAAAGGCUGUGACCUGGUUCAAGUAAUCCAGGAUAGGCUGGGCCCAUUCUCAUUGGCCUAUUCUUGGUUACUUGCACUCGGGCACGGCCACGCUAAGCGGCACCAGCG
rnacentral:precursor_RNA from 12 species